rnacentral:rRNA from 1 species
UACGUAGGGGGCAAGCGCUGUCCGGAAUUAUUGGGCGUAAAGAGCGCGUAGGCGGUCCGGUAAGUCGGUUGUGAAAGUCGGGGGCUCAACCCUCGGAUGCCGAUCGAUACUGUCGGGCUAGAGUCCGGAAGAGGCGAGUGGAAUUCCUGGUGUAGCGGUGAAAUGCGCAGAUAUCAGGAGGAACACCAAUGGCGAAGGCAGCUCGCUGGGACGGUACUGACGCUGAGGCGCGAAAGCCAGGGGAGCAAACGGG